rnacentral:lncRNA from 1 species
ACUGGUAUAGUAACAACCAUUGCAAUUUUUUUUUUGACGAACCAUUGCAAUUGAAAUGCUUAAAUCAUGCAUGGUUGAAUCAGUUUAUAGCUCUUUCUCACUACGUGCUUUUAACUUUGUAUAUCAUAGUGGUCCUGAUGACAGAUUUGCUCCAGACCNGCCAACAUUAUCUCCUAACUUUAAUACCCUUGCAGUUGAUGAGGUGUGUUAAUCCCUUUCUAUUGUAGAAUAUGUCAUAUAAGUACCGUUUAUGUUUUUUAAUUGCUUGUAGAAACAAAUCUUUGUAGAUACCUUUUUAUAUCCUUAUGUUGCUGUUUGAAGUAGUAUCUAGAGGAAUAGCGAACUUUCAGUAUAUCACACAAGGUUGAUUACAAAAUUAUGCAAGGGCUUGUUGCGUCUUAAUGCUAAACCCUCUGAAAUAUUUAGACCUCAUGUAUUCAUGUUAGAAAUAGACUCGGCAUGUGGAAGUAUCAUUCGAGUUGUAUUAAUUAUGAUUAAAUUUCACUCUACAAUUUAGCCUAAUCAGUUUUGAUUAGAAGAAAUUUAUGAAAGGGCCUGAUAAUAUAUGAUUAAAUUGCAGUCUACAAUUUAGCCUAAUCAGUUUUGAUUAGAAGAAAUUUAUUAAUUAUAAAAAAAUUCUAAAAUGCUUGGAUUUUGCUGCGAUAUCGCUAGGAAUACGUAGCUAGAGAUUUAUUGCAAAAUCGUUGUGAUAAUAUCCUAGCAAUUUAGUUAGGAAACACAAACUUUUGAACAUUAUUUAACUAGGUAUUAAUUGGGAAUUAGCUAGAAUAUUCUUUAUAUUAGUUGCAAAUUAGC